rnacentral:rRNA from 1 species
AAAUUGAAGAGUUUGAUCAUGGCUCAGAUUGAACGCUGGCGGCAGGCCUAACACAUGCAAGUCGAACGGUAACAGAAAGCAGCUUGCUGCUUUGCUGACGAGUGGCGGACGGGUGAGUAAUGUCUGGGAAACUGCCCGAUGGAGGGGGAUAACUACUGGAAACGGUAGCUAAUACCGCAUAACGUCGCAAGACCAAAGAGGGGGACC